GACCUCGGGCUACACACGUGCUACAAUGGUUGGUACAACGAGUUGCGAGUCGGUGACGGCGAGCUAAUCUCUUAAAGCCAAUCUCAGUUCGGAUUGUAGGCUGCAACUCGCCUACAUGAAGUCGGAAUCGCUAGUAAUCGCGGAUCAGCACGCCGCGGUGAAUACGUUCCCCGGGCCUU
rnacentral:rRNA from 1 species